UCCAGACUCCUACGGGAGGCAGCAGUGGGGAAUAUUGCGCAAUGGGGGCAACCCUGACGCAGCAACGCCGCGUGCAGGAAGAAGGUCUUCGGAUUGUAAACUGUUGUCGCAGGGGAAGAAGACAGUGACGGUACCCUGUGAGAAAGUCACGGCUAACUACGUGCCAGCAGCCGCGGUAAUACGUAGGUGACAAGCGUUGUCCGGAUUUACUGGGUGUAAAGGGCGCGUAGGCGGGAUAGCAAGUCAGUCGUGAAAUGCCGAGGCUUAACCUCGGAGCUGCGAUUGAAACUGUUAUUCUUGAGUAUCGGAGAGGAAAGCGGAAUUCCUAGUGUAGCGGUGAAAUGCGUAGAUAUUAGGAGGAACACCAGUGGCGAAGGCGGCUUUCUGGACGACAACUGACGCUGAGGCGCGAAAGUGUGGGGAGCAAACAGGAUUAGAUACCCGCGUA
rnacentral:rRNA from 1 species